ensembl:lncRNA
GCCUCACCCAGAAAACAUGUCUGGAACUGCCAGGGAACAUAAUCUAAUUUUAAAAACUUUAAUCCUCCUGUGAAACUGGAUGACAGUGUUCUGACUUGAGGCAGGCUCUUUCAGUACGUGUUCACAACACCCAGCACGUGGUCCAGGACUGCUGGAGGGAUCUCACAAUGGAUUCUGCAAGGAGCGCUUCAGGCUUUAAGUAAAAGCUGUAAAGGACUGUCCUCCCAGGAAGUGGCAUCUCCCAUUGCUAUCUCUUGGUUUCUACUGUCUCUGAAUCUGGUAGCUUCUAGAUUGCAGAGCAGGAUGCUUUUUGCAGCUCAUUGGCUGCCUUCAGCAAGAGUGAGAAAGAUCUGUUUUCCUGGAUCAGCCUUCUCACUCCUCUAUAACAGGGUUGUCUCUGGAUAGGAGUGAAAGGGACUGAACGCACAGGGAAGGGAGGAGCUGGGCAGGACUGAACUGGGUAUUUGAUCUCUGUAAACUCAUGCAUGCUGACUCUGGGAGGAUGAAGUGUUCCUCAGCCCCCUUUCUCAACCUACCAAACAGUGGAACUACCUCUGAGCUCUGGGGCAAGAGGAGGGCUGGAGUGCCUGCUUUCAUGCCCUUCUUUAUGUUCUAACAAAACAGACCAGAUGGCUAGAAGACCUCUGUUUCUUUGUUCUGGAGGCUGGGAAGUCCAGGAUCUUAGGUGUUAGCAGACUGGGUGUUUGAGAGCCUUUUCUCUCACUUGUACACAGCAGCCUGCAAGCACUCCAGUCUCUUCCUCUCCUUGAAAGGAUACUGGCUUCAUGAUGGGACUCUACCUUCAUGAUCUCAUCAAAGCCUAACACCUCUCCUGGCCCCCACCUCCAGAUACUAUCACACUGAGGGUUAUGGCUUGAAUGUAUGAAGUUUAAGGAUAGAAACAUUGUCUAUAAAAGCUGAGCUCUUAGCUGUUUCAUCUCAUCCCCUAAAGCAAAUGAGCUGUUUUUUUUCCUGAAGAAAUCUUUCGUGUUAAAAUGCACACAGCAUAAAAUUUGCCUUUUGAAACAUCCUAAGUGUACAAUUGGCAAUCACUAGUGAUGGUCAUACAAUAUUGUUAGUGUAACCUGUCAAUCGCCCCACAAAAACUCUGCAACAACUAAGCAAGGGCUCUCACCCCCGACCCUUCCCUAGCCCUUGUGUGGCUUGCAUGUAUGCUAAGUUGCUUCAGUCGUGGCCAACUCUGUGUGACCCCAUAGCCCACCAGGCUCCUCUGUCUGUGGGAUUUUCCAGGCAAGAAUACUGCAGUGGGUUGCCAUUUCCUUUUCCGGGGGAUCUUCCUGACCCAGAGAUUGAACCCACGUCUCUUACGUUUCCUGCAUUGGCAGGUGGGUUCUUUAUCACCAGCGCCACCUAGGAAGCCCUUGACAACCUCUAGUCUACUUUCUUGAGUGUAACUUGCUUAUUCUGUUUUUUGCCCUUUGAUCAUAGAGCAUUUGUCCUUCUAUAUGGCUUAUUUCAUUUAGAAGAACUUCAAAUUCUGUCCAUGUUGUAACAAUGUGUCAGAAAUUCAAUUCUUGGGUCUGAAUAAGGAUCCAUUUCCUGGAUAUACCGCAAUUUACUUCUCUUCACCUGUUGAUGGAUAACAGAGCUGUUUCCACAUCUUGGCUCUUGUGAAUGUUGCAGUGAACAUCAGGGUACAGAUAAAACUGCUUAAAUCUAUGUUUUCAAUUCUAUUUAACAAGAAUGACUGGGUCAAAUGGUGACCCUGUGUUUAGAACUUUGAAGAACUGUCAAAACAAUGAAUUGGUUCUGGAGGUGGUUCUAGGUGGAAGACCUGAAGUCCUAAGUUCCUUUUGGAAUAAGACCCCCUGCUAGAUGACAGUCACCUCCUUGUUUCACACUUGACACUGAACACCCAGGAAGGUCACAUCUGCUUCCUUAAUCUCUGAAAGAGAUCCAAUCACCCAUCAAGGUGAUCAAGAACUUUCUUCAAGGACACUUCUGGAUCAUUGGCUGUUUGAGUCAACAGAGCUCAAUCCAGUCCAUUUCACUUAAUUCAUCAAGAACUUCCCUAUUAAGUAACUUCAGAUUUUGAAGCCAGUACAUCCUUAAGACCCUGAUGCUGGGAAAGAUUUGAGGGCAGGAGGAGAAGGGGAUGUGACAGAGGAUGAGAUGGUUGGAUGGCAUCACCAGCUCAAUGGACAUGAGUUUGCGUAAACUCUGGGAGUUGGUGAUGGACAGGGAGGCCUGGUGUGCUGUGGUUCAUGGGGUGGCAGAGAGUCAGACGUGACUGAACUGAACAUCCUUACCAGAUGGCAGAACAGAAACCGUGUUGCAUCUCAGUAGCCUCUUGUUUCUGUCUCAAUUUCCUGCUGUGCCCUAUGACACUUAGGAAUGUGCCCAACUUCCCUUGGGCAGCAGGCUUUGAGCCUUGAGUAGUUCACCAUAAUGUUUACCCUUUGAUUUGUAGAGAUCUUGCGAGGUCUUGUCCUCAAUACUUGGAGGUAGAGGUCUGUUUAGUGAUCUAAGAAUAAGAAUAGAAAUAUUAAAGGCUUAAUCUUUCAGAAUCAAGAAUGCAUUCUUGAUUCUUGAAUCAAGACAGAAGAGAGCUUCUAUCACUCUUAGAAGUUAUUUGGACUGACCAGCUAUUAAGUUGUUUGUUAUAAAAAUUCCUAAAGGGAGCUAGUGCUGUGCAUGACGGGCUUACCUGGAGAUACUACAGGUUCAGUUCCCGACCACGAAAAAGCGCAUAUCAGUGUCGCACAAAUUGUUUCCCAAUGCAGAUAGUUUAUAGUCAAGUGUGCAAUAGCAUUUCUAAAUGUACAUUAAUUUCCUUACUGCUGAAAGCUGCUAGCCACCUGGACCUUCAGUGAGUUGGAAUCUUGCUGGUGGAGGGUCUCACCUCAAUGUUGAUGGCCGUUAACUUACCAGUGUGGUUGCUGAAAGUUGGGGGUAGUAGCUAUGGUAAUGUCUCAGAACAACAGAGCUUGACCACUGACUCUUCCUUCAUGAUUUCUCUGUGGUGUGCAAUACUGUCUGGCAUUUUACCCACAGAACUUUCAGAUCGUGAGUCAGUCCUCUCAAACCCCACUGCUGCUUUUGACUAAGUUGCUGGAACUCUCCGAAUCCUGUCAUUUCAACAGUCUUCACAGGUUCUUCACCAGGUUAGAUACCUUGUCUCUCCAUAAGAAGCAACUGCUCAUCCAUUAAAUUAUCGUAGGACUGCAGCAAUCUAGUUGUAUCUUCAGGCUCCACCUCUCAUUCGAGUCCUCUUGCUGGUUCUGUCACCUCUAUAGCUACUUCUCUACUGAAGUUUUGAAGCCCUCAGCCAGCCAUGAGGGUUGGAAUCGAUUUCUUCCUAACUCCUGUGAACGUUUAUUUUGACCUCUUGCCGUGAAUGACAACUGUUCUUCAUGGCAUGUAGGAUGGUGAAUCCUUUCCAGAAGGUUUUCAAUUUACUUUGCCCAGAUCCAGAGGAAUCACUAUUUAUGGCAGCUAUAGCCUUAUGAGGUGUACUUAGACGGGAAAGUCAGUAUGACUUCUCGAUCCACAGCAGCGGAACAGAUCUUAACAAGCAUAUGUAACAACACAGUCUCACUGCAUCAUCAUCAGAGCGCUCUUGGGUGGCCAGGUGCAUUGUCAGUGGCAAUAAUACUUGGAAUUUCUUCCUGAGCAGUAGAUCUCAACAGUAAACAUACUCAGGAAACCAUGUUAACAGAAUGUGCUGUCACUCAGACUUUGACUCUGCCUGUGCUCUGUAAAUGGCACCAUCUAGCAUAAUUAAGGGCCCUGUGAAUUUGAAAUUGCAAGUGAACAUUGGCUUCCACUUAAGUCCCCAGCUGGAUGAGCCCCGAACAAGUCAACUGGGCCUUUGAAAGUUUGAAGCCAGGUAUUGACUUCUCUUCAGCUAUGAGAUUCUCCAGCAUGAGGCUGCUUUUCUGCAUUUAAAAAUACUGGCUUGGUGUAGCCAAUUCACGAGUGAUCUGAGCUAGAUCUUUGGGAUAACUUGCUGCAGGUCCUACAUCAGCCCUUGUGGCUUCGAAGUUAAGGAGACGACUUACUUAAACCUCCUGAACUGAACUCUGCCUGUUUAAAUUUCUGCUACUUCCUCACCUCCCUGACAUUGCAUCAAAGAGUUAGGGCCUUGUUCUGGACUAGGCUUUGGCUUAAGGGAAUGUUGUGGCUCGUCUGUUCUAGCAAGACCAGUAAAACUUUUUUCUCCAUGUAAGCAAUGAGGCUGAGCUUGCUUUGUGUGUUCACUGGAGUAGCACUUUCGUUUCCUUCAAAAACUCCCUUGGCGUUCACGACUUGACUGUCCAGCACAAGAGGGCUACCUUUCAGCCUGUCUUAGCUUUUGUUGUGCCUCCCUCACUAAGCUUAGUAAUUUCUCGCUUUUGAUAUAAAGUGAGACGGGCAACUCUCCUUUCACUUGAUUGUUUAGUGGACUUUGUAGCUUAUUCACUGGCCUAACUUCAAUAUUUCAUCCUCAG